CCGCAAGCGCGUCUCCGCCGUAGAAGAUGUCGAGGACGAUAGCGAGAGACCUCGCCCCCCAAGGUCACAUUGAGCGGCUAACUUGCCCCAAACUUGUUCAUUUGAUGUAAAAUUUGAUGAACUUUAGCGCCUUGUUAGCUUAUUGUAGUCGAGUAUCAACACAUUUCAUUAAGAAAAAAGGGGGAAACAAAGAGGAUGUGAUCAUAUUCUUGUAGCAGAAAACGGAUUAUUUUAACGCCGAUUCUGACAUGCACAGCAGGUUUUUUUUACAUGCCUUUGUGAAAACAUGUUUAGAUCACUUUCGUCUUGUUUCAUCACGGAUUACAGCAGGUUAUAUGAUGAAUCUAGACCAGGCUUUUCUCUUGGAGGAAUGGUUAGCGAAGCCACCGUGGAAACUGCUUUUUUCUUGGCGGGAGGAAUGAAAAAUCCCCUUGCCUACUUCAUUAGGCGGUCUUGAAAAGAACUAGUGAUGUAUGUAAAUAUGCUUCUCGUGUUGUAUUUCGAGCAGAGGGAAGGGUUUAUAUGCCACUUGCUACCCUACCUGUAAAUAUAUUUGUUCAAUAUAAUCAAUGUCCGCCUUGUUUUCUCUUUCGCUAUCGAAUGACUCUAAUCUCUGUGUUUAAAUGGCCUGACGUGUUAUUUUCUUUGCUUAUACAGGACAAAUUCUGUUGAAGAAUAAAUGUUUAGUUAAUUUCAUAGUAUUGCAGUUGGUUUCCCUCUUGAAUCUGAGACUGACCUUUUUGUGGAUUCUUGGUUGGGUUGAAAUUGGAAUCUUCCAACCCUAGCUCACUUCUUCACUGGUGGUGUGCUAUCGUUCCUCUUGUCUCUAGAGAAAGGAAUUGAGUGCCUUGACUAUGAUGAAAUGGAUACCACCAUGGACCUCUAAUUAGCAGUAGCAACUAUGAGAACAAGUUAUUUUUUGUCCUUUGUUGGUCACGUGGGGAUUAUUCUGUCGGAAGUCAAAGCAUGUCAAGUUUUUUAAACCAUAGGCUUGGUUUGGAAAAAACUGAGCUAGAUUGAACCUGAUUUUAUUAGCUCAAAGUAUAGCUCUUAACCAAAUUAGGAUUGUUUCCACCCACCUGUAUCAGAAACCUAAUUAAGGCUUUAACUAGGUUAGCAAGAAGUUACUACACACUGAUGUAGAGUAUGAUGGGUGCCCCUGAAGAAGCAAUAUGCUUGGAGUUGGGACUAUAUAGAAAUGACAUGAUUGAAGAGGCUAUGUAGAGUUGUUAAUUAGAUAACAUAAAAGUAACGUCUGUGAUCCAUGUUUCUUUUUCGAGCACUGAAGAGCAUGAUGGAAUUAUGUAAGUGGGAGUUUGUGUGAGUGGUAAAAGGAUUAAGUUUAUAGUUUUGAGGAGCUAUGUAAGUGGGAGUCUAUGUUGAGUUGUUUGGAUAUAAACUUACUCUUCAAAGCCAUCUAUUAAGAAAGUCCAAGAUCGAAUAUUUGAUGUGUAACCUCUCUUCAUUCAGCGUCUAUGUGGUGCUAUAGUCCAAAUCGAGACACCAAUUGUAUUUACACAUCAACAUUAUUAGUGUCAUGACACGGUUAGCUCUGAGUGCACUACCAUCACUACUAAAAAUGCAGCAAUUAGCAAAGUAAACCAAUCAAAGGUCGAUAGUUGUCACUCUACAGCUAGCCUUGUAGCAUCAAGCAUGGAAAGCAACUACUUUCCAGCCUCAUAUACCAGCCUCAUAUAUAAUACUCUCCAAAAAAUUUGCUCUUAGAGAUUUCAUAUUCAUCUUCUAUGUUCAAAUCUUUCAAUAGAGAUUAGCACUACUUGAUAGUUCGACGUUUUUUUGGUGAGAUUUUAGCCCUAACCCUCAUAACGCUCUGUAUGUUACCGCAGAUGGUUUGAUUAUUGGAAAAAGAAGCACUUACCCUUCAAGAGGCUGACGUUCUUCUCUACACUAUUAUCAUUGUCAUCAACUCAUCCAAGUUCUAUUAUUUGAAUCUUGUCAAAUAAGUACGUGACAACCCCUCUAUUUCUUAUAUUAACAAUUAAGGAAAGAUGUGGGUCAGACUGAUUUGGAUAAGAGUUGUUUUUAGGUAGGAGGGUAAGUAGAAGUUAAGAAAAAUAGUAUUCAAACUAAGAUGGUCAAGAUUUCUAGCUAUUCAUCUUAAAAGUGAGCUCAAUGGGUAGAUCUCUCAUUUCUACUUUGGAUCUGUUUUGGCUUUUCGCAAGAUGAUCAUUUGAUUAUAAAUGGUAGCAUUUGCCUGGAGGACAUCAUAAUUCAGAUUGGGAUAAGAGUAUAUGGUCAUUUAGGUGAGAUUACCAUAUGGUGAUAAUAUUACUAUAAGUUGGCCAAAAUAAGAUUAAUGUAUGGUGGUUUGCAUGCCGCAUAUCCGCUUGAAGAAGAAGGCUAUUUCUUCAAACUUUUCAAGUGAUUGUCUGUUAGCCCAUCUGUUCCUUUAUUAUACUUUCAGGAUUAUGUGUUUCAAACUUCUGACAUUUAGAAUUAGCGGAAUAACCCAAAACAGAAGCAAAUGUUUCGGAUGCGGUUUAAUGUAAACCAAAGCUAGAAAAUCCUAUUAAAGGAUCUUCUAGAGUACUCUCAUUAAGAUGGAGCUUAUUUUCUGAUAUUAGAGGAUUAUAUCGAACUGAGUGCGGGUGAAGUUAAAAGAUUGAUGCAGAGGUUAAUAGUAGGAUGUUAAUUCAAGGAUUUAGGACCUUUGUAGUGAAAAGGAUUCAAAUAAAUGUGCAUAUUUGAUAGCUAUUGAAAGCAAUCAGACCUUUGUAUUGAAAAGAUUCAAAUAAAUGUGCAUAUGUAAUAGCUACGGAAAGCAAUCAUACAUUGUAGUGAAAGGAUUCAAGUAAAUGUGCAUGUGUAAGAGCUUUCAACAACAUUGCUUUGAUUCAUAAACUAUUCCAGCUCCAUGCAAGUGGUAUGGUUUUAUCAUGUUAGUACAAGAAUAAAGGGGCUUACCGCACACCUACGUGGCAAGGCUCAACAAUAAAACUUGGAUGAGUUAAUGUUGAUGGUGAUGAUGAUAAUGAUGUAGUAAAUGAGAUGUUUUGUUGGGAACGUCAUGAUGAUGAUGAUAAUAAUGUAGUAGAUGAGAUGUUUUGUUUGGAACGUCAGUUUGUUGAUGGUUAGGCAAAUGUUGUUCUUAUGAUUGGAAGCUCGCAUUCAAAUAGGAGCUUUAGGAGGAUUGAUCCCGCCCUCUGACGCUUUAAGUCAAUAUUUUAAAAGUGUAAAUCUCAAUUGAAAGACUUGAAGGGAAAAUGUGGGAUGGGGAACAUAGCUUAGGUUUCUUUGUACAGAGUCUAAUGUAUAAGGUAGAAAAGCGGUUAUUUUUCAUGAUUGAUGUUACAAGGCGAGCUGGAAAGUUACAGUUACCGAUAUGUGAUUGGUUUUCUAUGUUAAUCACUACCCUUCUAACAAUAACUUUGUAGCACUCAACGCUAACCAUGCUCAGACACUAAACAUGCUGAUAUAUAGAUACAAUGAGGUAAUUGAUUUGGACUGUAGUGUCAUGUAGGCGCUGAUUGAGGGAAGGACAAUCACCGAGAAUCAGGCCUUGGGUUUUCGUAGUGAUUGGGCUUGGGCGAUAGGGUUGUAUCCUAACAAUCUCAAAAGAUGAAAAUGUUCUAAAAGUGAUUCCUGAUUCGAGUACAGUAUGCGUAAAAAUUUUGUAAUCUCUGAGGUUCUUUAUAAACUCUAGCAUGUUGGCAUGUGCAAAUGCACGUGUAACAAGUCAUUAAAUUGUUAUCGAAAUAUCAUGUACCUUAGUCGUACAUGUUAACUAUCUUAUGAUAUGUAGAAAAUGCAUCCUAAGUUAAUUAUUUAGUGACUAAAUUGAUAAGCAAUCUUGAUUCAUAAGUUUCAAGAGUUUAUUUUUUUGAGAAUAUUAUAAUUGAAGUAGGUGAUGUGAUAUAAAAUAAAAAUCAGAAAAAUACGACAAUAGAACUCUAUAAUAGAGCUUUUCAUGUAGUAUUCAAUUCAAGUUGGACAAUUUGCUUAUGUGCCCAUGCAUUUUUUAUUGGGAAAAGCUAUGUAGUAAAUAUAUUGUUUUACUUGUUUGUAUUUUGUAAUUAUCUAGUUGAUGUUUUAAUAAGCUCAUGCUUUCAUUUUUUAUGAACUCCAAUUAACAAUAAUACAUUUUUAGCAAAUUGCUAAAAUUAAGCAACACCCUUACCACAUGUUUUUUCCUCCAAAAAAAAUAAAAGAAAGAUAUAUAAGAAUUCCAAUAUAAAAGCAAUCAAUUUGAGUUACUUAUGGGAAAAAACAUUCUUUUUUUUAAUGAGUGUAAUAAAAAGAAUGAUUUGAGAUUGUGAUGAACUGGACAUAGAUUCGAAAUUGAUUUGGAAGGGAAAAAGGAAAAUAUUUAAUUUUUUUUACAUAAUUUUCCACAUGAUGAAACUCCUAAAAAGAUCUAUUGAUUUUUUUUGGAUAAAUGGCAAUUUGCUUGUUUUAGUAUGACUUGAAUAGUCAAUAUGUUGAGAGAAAGUAGCAAAGUUCCACAAGGUAUCCAUUUUUUUGUUGUUGAACUUCUUAUCUAGUAAUUUAUUAACAAAGAUAUGACAAUACUUUUUUUACGUAAUAAACCCUUAGUUAUGUUCAUGUUGGAUUUUAUGCAAAAAUUCUCAUAUGGGGGGACUUGUUAGCAAAAGUUCUCUAUAUUAGUUUAGUUGUGUAUAUGGAGAGAGGGCGCUAGAAGAUAAAAUAGCAUCGAUGGAAAAAAGAGGAGAAAAUAGUGUAGCAAGAUAAAUUUAUGAAUUUUAUUUUAUUUUUUCCAGUCAAUUUUGACUACAUUGAAGGGAAUUCCCUUCUUUUCUUCGUUAAUUUGGUGAAAUAGAUAUCUGAUGUAACUUCUUUUCCCUAAACUGACAAGUAGGUAUAUUAAUGUAACAAAUCCUAAUUUUCUAACUAAAAUUGUGAAAUUUGACAAAUUAUGGUACUUGAGUAUGUGCACAUUUCAUAUAAAAUUUCUUUGUUCUUCCUUGCAUAUAUGUAUUUAAUAAGAGGCUGAUAUACUUAAUAAAUGAUCCAUUUGGAUGAGUGAUGCAUCCAGAGAAGAGGUUAUUCUAAUGCCAAGUCUUGCAUGGUACACCAAUCUUUAUACACUCAGAAUAGAUAUCAUUCACCUAAAUGUUGAUAAAACAUGAAAUUUUCUGUUUUCUUUGUUAAUGCUCUUCUGAAAACAUGUUCUUGCUUCAUAGGUCACUUUCGUCUUGUUUCAUUCAGGAAUACAGCUGGUCAUAAGAUAAGGGUUGACGAGGUUUUUCUCUUGGAGAAAGUGUUAGCAAAGCCACAAGCGAGAUUUCCUUUUCUUGGAGGGCGAAAUGAAGAGCCCCUUGCCUACUUCAGUAGGGAGCCUUGAGAAGAACUAUUACAGUAUUACUGAAAGUGACCACCAUUUAUAAGUCCAUACUGAAAAUUUCUGAAUCAAAUCCAGGAGAUGUGGUCACAUUCUUAUGGCAGAAAAUGCGCUGUUGUUACUGCAGAUCAGUAUUAAUUUGCUCAUUCAAUUUCAAAACAAUUAAGCUUCUGUUUGUAGAUAGGAAAAUUGUACGUCAUUGGGAAACUCAGCUUUUGUCGCACCUCUAUUUUCUAUGAUGCAGGAUUUGAAGAUUGGACUAAAAUACUACAUAUGCAUGGAAAGCUGGACAAGCUCUCCAAAUUGCCUCAUGAUUUGCCGUUUAACCUGGAUUUUGAAGAUUGGAGUGAAGUUGUAUAAGUACAUGGAUAGCUGGGGUAGCUCUCCAAACUGCCUUAUUGUUUGCCGUUUAGCCUACGUAAGGUGUCACUCAUCGUAACAGUUUGAAUGUAUGGUUGCUUUGCUAUUACAGGAGGAAUACAGCUGGUCAUGAGAUCAAGGUUGACCAGGAUUUUCUCUUGGAGGAAGGGUUAACAAAGCCACCAUGGAGGCUUCUUUUUUCUUGGAGGGAGAAAUGAAAAGCCCCUUACCUACUUCAGUUGAGAGUCUUGGAAAGAACUAGUAAUGAAUAAAGGGUCAUCACGUACCUACGUGGGCAAGAUCCAACAACAAAACUUGAGUUAAUGACGAUGAUAAUGAUGAUGAUGAUGAUGUAGAAAGCGAAGUGCUUUGUUUGGAAAGUCAGCUUCUUGAUGGUAGGCACCUUGUUCUGACGAUUGGAUGGUCUGAAUUUAGAUAAGAUGUCAGGAGCUCGAGGCUUGGCUCAACCAAAGAUAGUAUUGAAAGACUUGAACAGAGCAUGUAGAACAUGGAGCAUAGCUCGAGCUUUUCGAGAGGCUUAUAUGUGAAGUAGAAAAAUGGUUAUUUUUCAUGGUUGGUGUCACAAGAGCACUUGUAAAGUCAUAGUUGUUGAUAUGUGACUGAUUGGUUGAUUCUGUUAGUCAUUGCUCUCUUGAGGUGGUUGUGGGGCACUCAAUACCAACCAUGUUGAGAUGCUAAUUGUGUUGAUAUAUGGGCAUACGAAGUGAUUUGAUUUGGACACGUUGAUGUUGAUCGAAGAGAGAAUGAGCAUCGAUUAUCGGGUCUUGGGGUUUCUUAGCAAAUGGACUAGGGUGGUAAAUUGUAUUCUGACAAUUCAAAAGAUGAAAUUGUACUAACAGAAAUUUCUGUUUCCCAUUUGGAGGAUAAGUAAAAAAUUUGUAUUAUCUUAAGUGUGUUUGAAUGAAAUACUUGCAUGUUAGGUGAUAGUGCUUAGGUACACACUUACGAAAAAGAUACUAGCUCAUAUGAGGAGCCACUAACCGAUUCCGCAAAGAAUUAUUAAAAAUUUUUAAGUAAAUUUCUUCCUGAACUAUUUAUUGUAUAGCCUUGGUAGUAUUUCAUUCAACUGGUUUAUUUAAUUCAUGAUUGGGUUGUUUGCACCUUUGUGCCCUAGAAUUUACACCUUUCUAACUUUGAUUCUCCGAAGUAUUUGUAUAUCAUUAUUGGAUUACUGAUCUAUAUUUACACAAAAGAGGAGAUCCAAAAGAUGAAUCAAGGGAUAACCCAAGGAGCAAAGAGACUUUUAACUAUCAUUGAAGAAAAAAUGAGUGCGGGAGAAAUGAAGAGCCCCUUGCUUCUUUAUUAGACAAUCUGGAGAAGAACUAGUAAUGUACGUGGCCACCAUUUAUAGCUCAUUACUAAAAAAUUCUGAAUCAAAUCCAGGAGAUGUAAUCAUAUUAGUAUGGUCAAUAAAUGCAUCCUUGUUACUGAAAACCAAUACCAAUUGCGCAUCCAAGUUGGAAAGAAUUAAGCUUCUGUUUGUAGAUACGAAUACUGCAUGUCAUUAAGAAGCACAGCUCUUGUUGCACCUCUAUUUUCUAUAAUGCAGGUUUUGUAAGAUUGGAGUAAAGUAGCAUAUACACUUGGAAAGCUGGGUAAGCUCUCUGAAUUUAAUAACAGGUAUGCAAAUAUGGUUUUGUUUCUCAUAUUUCCAGCAGCAUGGCAGGGUUUAUAUGCCACUUGCUACUCCUUAUACCCAUCAACAUCCAUUUUGUUUGCUCUUUCAAUGUCUAGUAACUCUAAUCCUGACUUGUCAUAUUUUUUGUUUCUUUGCUUAUGCAGGAGAAAUUCUAUGCAAGAACUGUUUAGUUAAUUUCCUGAUGUUGUAGGUACUCGGUGCGCGUGGCCACUGUGUUAGUGUUUGACAAUAUACGGGAUCAAGGGAAGACGGGUUAUACGUGCGGGUGAGAAUUAAUAUUGUACGAACCUAUUGUCAAUUGUAUAUUGUCAAAGGUUGUUUGCACUUUAAUCCUCCUAAAGUUUCACUCCUUCAACUUUGAUAUUAUGAAGUCCUAUCUCGACAACUUGAUGAUCAAGCUGUGCUGUUAAGAAGUUGCCUUCAAUUUUGUUCGAGAAUAUAUCGACAUAUAAAAGAUGGCUAAGAAGUAAAA